rnacentral:rRNA from 1 species
UACAGAGGCCACAAGCGUUAGACGGAAUCACUGGGCUUAAAGCGUGUGUAGGCGGGUUGGUAAGUACCUUGUGAAAUCCCACGGCUUAACCGUGGAAUUGCUUGGUAUACUGCCGAUCUAGAGUCACCUAGAGGUAGCUGGAACUGAUGGUGGAGCGGUGAAAUGCAUAGAUAUCAUCAGGAACGCCAAUGGUGCAGACAAGCUACUGGGGGUGUACUGACGCUGAGGCACGAAAGCCAGGGGAGCGAACGGG